CAGAUCAAUGAUAAUAAUGUAUCAUGAACCAAGGAGUAUGGUUAAUUUAGCCCUCUGCCCCUGAGGUCCAAC
rnacentral:snoRNA from 1 species